AUGCCGAGGGAAGAUGCAGAAAUAAAUGUGGACAAGGAAGCUGCGGCGCAAACUGUUAUGCCAACUAUCAAGGGGAAGAUUCCUCUGUCAACAGCCCCACCUAAACCAGCUAUGCAGCAAAAGAUUGUCAAGUUUGCCAAGUGCACAAAGGAAGAACAGGGCAGGGAAGGUGUGGGGUCCAGACACGAGACAGAACAACGUGCCACAGCCAACGCUGCAGGACUGGCAAGUUCUUCUAGUUUGGUGCCAACUCAGGCUGCAAAGGUGCCAACUGUAGAUACCAGUGUGCCAACUGCAGAUACCAGUGUGCCAACUGAAGUGAUCACAGUUAAAACUAGCAGAGUUGUUCAGGAAGACUCAACUACAACCGCAAGCCCCAAGGUGACAAUUCAUACAGAUUCUUCAAUGCCAAACAUGGAAGGAGGUUGUCAAUCUGUCAAACUGCCGUCUCCAAGAGCUACCACAGAGCAUCCAAGCAAGUCCGCAUCACCAAGAGCUGAUUUUCAGAACAAAUUAACACAAGAGGAGGUGUUCAACAUUGUAAGCAGGUGCAAGCCUCCCAGGCUGCCAACUACAACAUUACUGCGAACCAAGAGUUAG
rnacentral:rRNA from 1 species